UAGUCGAGGGUGCUUCUUCCUUCGGAAGAAGUAACCCGGCGGACGGCUCAGUAACACGUGGAUAACUUGCCCUUGGGUCCGGGAUAACCCCUGAGAAAUUGGGGACAAUACCGGAUAGGGCAUCGAUAGCUGGAAUGCGCGAUGUCCAAAAGCUGAGGCGCCCAAGGAUAGGUCUGCGGCCGAUUAGGUUGUUGUUGAUGUAAUGGAUCAACAAGCCUGCAAUCGGUACGGGUUGUGAGAGCAAGAGCCCGGAGAUGGGUUCUGAGAAAAGAACCCAGGUCCUACGGGACGCAUCAGGCGCGAAAACUUUACAACGUGCGAAAGCACGAUAAGGGAACUCUGAGUGCCUCCUAUGGAGGCUGUUCAGGUGUCUAAAAAGCACUUGAAGUAAGGGCUGGGUAAGACCGGUGCCAGCCGCCGCGGUAACACCGGCAGCCCAAGUGGUAGCCACGAUUAUUGGGUCUAAAGCGUCCGUAGCCGGCCAGGUAAGUUCUUUGGGAAAUUUAACCGCUCAACGGUUAAGCUUUCAGGGAAUACUGCUUGGCUCGGGACCGGGAGAGGUCAGAGGUACUUCAAGGGUAGGGGUGAAAUCCGUUAAUCCUUGAGGGACCACCAGUAGCGAAGGCGUCUGACCAGACCGGGUCCGACGGUGAGGGACGAAGGCUAGGGUCGCGAACCGGAUUAGAUACCCGGGUAGUCCUAGCUGUAAACGAUGCGGGCC
rnacentral:rRNA from 1 species